rnacentral:rRNA from 1 species
GACGAACGCUGGCGGCGUGCUUAACACAUGCAAGUCGAACGGAAAGGCCCUGCUUUUGUGGGGUGCUCGAGUGGCGAACGGGUGAGUAACACGUGAGUAACCUGCCCUUGACUUUGGGAUAACUUCAGGAAACUGGGGCUAAUACCGGAUAGGAGCUCCUGCUGCAUGGUGGGGGUUGGAAAGUUUCGGCGGCUGGGGAUGGACUCGCGGCUUAUCAGCUUGUUGGUGGGGUAGUGGCUUACCAAGGCUUUGACGGGUAGCCGGCCUGAGAGGGUGACCGGCCACAUUGGGACUGAGAUACGGCCCAGACUCCUACGGGAGGCAGCAGUGGGGAAUAUUGCACAAUGGGCGGAAGCCUGAUGCAGCAACGCCGCGUGCGGGAUGACGGCCUUCGGGUUGUAAACCGCUUUCGCCUGUGACGAAGCGUGAGUGACGGUAAUGGGUAAAGAAGCACCGGCUAACUACGUGCCAGCAGCCGCGGUGAUACGUAGGGUGCGAGCGUUGUCCGGAUUUAUUGGGCGUAAAGGGCUCGUAGGUGGUUGAUCGCGUCGGAAGUGUAAUCUUGGGGCUUAACCCUGAGCGUGCUUUCGAUACGGGUUGACUUGAGGAAGGUAGGGGAGAAUGGAAUUCCUGGUGGAGCGGUGGAAUGCGCAGAUAUCAGGAGGAACACCAGUGGCGAAGGCGGUUCUCUGGGCCUUUCCUGACGCUGAGGAGCGAAAGCGUGGGGAGCGAACAGGCUUAGAUACCCUGGUAGUCCACGCUGUAAACGGUGGGUACUAGGUGUGGGGUCCAUUCCACGGGUUCCGUGCCGUAGCUAACGCUUUAAGUACCCCGCCUGGGGAGUACGGCCGCAAGGCUAAAACUCAAAGGAAUUGACGGGGCCCCGCACAAGCGGCGGAGCAUGCGGAUUAAUUCGAUGCAACGCGUAGAACCUUACCUGGGUUUGACAUGGAUCGGGAGCGCUCAGAGAUGGGUGUGCCUCUUUUGGGGUCGGUUCACAGGUGGUGCAUGGCUGUCGUCAGCUCGUGUCGUGAGAUGUUGGGUUAAGUCCCGCAACGAGCGCAACCCUUGUUCACUGUUGCCAGCACGUUAUGGUGGGGACUCAGUGGAGACCGCCGGGGUCAACUCGGAGGAAGGUGGGGAUGGCGUCAAGUCAUCAUGCCCCUUAUGUCCAGGGCUUCACGCAUGCUACAAUGGCUGGUACAGAGAGUGGCGAGCCUGUGAGGGUGAGCGAAUCUCGGAAAGCCGGUCUCAGUUCGGAUUGGGGUCUGCAACUCGACCUCAUGAAGUCGGAGUCGCUAGUAAUCGCAGAUCAGCAACGCUGCGGUGAAUACGUUCCCGGGGCU